AUGCUUUGGCAGUACAUAUAAUAAAAUUUGAAUGAUAUGAGAAGAUCAGCAUAACCUCUAUGCAAGGAUGACAUCCAAAUUUGUCUUGGGGAAUAAAAUAUU